CUCAUGGCUGUGAUAGCUUCUGUGCCUGCUUGUUCCCAGCUUUGCUCCUGCCUAGUUCCAGUCCUGCUCCUGCUUAGUUCCAGCCUUGCUGCACUCCAGGAGUGGAGCAUAACUACAAGUCUGACAGUCAGGACGGCCACCAGGGGAGAAGCACUGUGACCCUCACCUAGACACCGUUGAGGAGACAGAGGAGCACCCAGCAAUGAGUGAACUAUUUGACUAAGAACAUUGUGGGGUUAAGCCAUCUCCAUCCUUACAUCUGCUCCUGCCCAGAAGGUCCUGAGACCUCAGAAGGAUGCCUCAAAAGUCCAAAAGGGGCUGCUACACCAGGAACUUCCCAAACUCCAGAUGUGAACACUUAGGGCCAAGUCAUACAAGCUGACUUCAGUAGGAAGAUAUAAAGUUUGCCUUUGCAUUCCCUCAGUCUUUGGAUGGCCAUAUGUUUGGACAAUCUUCUGGAGGCUGCUCUAAGUUACCCCGCCUGCCAAGAGCUGGAAGAGGACAAUAUGGCAGCAAGGGAUCAGUGGGCCAUAAGGGACCACUGGCCUUGCAUGUUUUCUCCCAGCAAUGUCCUUUAUGCUGAUAACAGGCACAGGAUGUCAUGUAAGAAUCAGAAUGCCAGCACUACACCAAU